GCAUGUGUUUACUAAUAACAAAACUCGUUAACAUAAAUAGCUAAUACGGUGAUCUAUAGUCCAUUUAUUAUCUAUUUUUUGGCAUGUGCAUCACAACUUUAGAAGUCACGUUCAGGUUUCAAAGAACUUUGGAGCUACUUUCAGUACUCAAUAUUUUUCUUCAAAGGGAAUACCCAAUAUCAAGCCACAUGAAAACUUGCUUAUGCUUAAGUUGUUGGGAAUAUGCCCUAGAGGCAAUCAUGUAUGAUGUAAUUCCCAAUGUAUUCAUAAAUAUUAUUAAGUUGUCCUUGUUUGAACAUCUGAUAUGUAUCAUUGAAUAUGUGAUUUGAUUGUGGAACUAUGUAUUCAUGUUGUUCAUACUAAAUAGUCCUUAGUCAUUGAGGUUGUGCUGGACACAUAACCUAGACUAAUGUGAAAGUUGGCUGAUGACUCGGUUCCACUUGUCAUGGGCAUGGUGAUGUCAUUCCAGCUUACACAGACUCGGCUAAAGGGUUUAGCGAGUCGGACUGACCCAUAUUGAGAUACAACGAGUAGGUCGUCAUUUGCAUGUCUCAAUCAAUGUAAUCCUUAGACCUGAGGUUAUCGCACAAUCCGAGUUGUGGAUCACCAACUUAGGUUCUGUCAAACGUUGUUCCGUAACAGGGCAGUUAUAAAGACAGAGUUCGGGUUGACUGAGAAUCAAGCUGUGUGAUGUGGAUAACCAAGAUGGGAUUUUGCCCCUCCGACU
rnacentral:lncRNA from 1 species